GUCUGCUUGGAGCUAUAAGAAGUCUAGCCUGCUCUCUGAUGAAUUUAAGGGCCGCGGUAAUUUGACCGUGCAAAGGUAGCAUAAUAGUUAGUUUUUUAAUUGGGAUCUUGUAUGAAUGGUUGGACAAAAGAAAUACUGUCUCUAAUAUUUUAUUUGAAUUUAACUUUUAAGUGAAAAGGCUUAAAUAAAUUAAAAAGACGAUAAGACCCUAUAAAGCUUUAUAAAAAUUUUUAUUUGAUUAAAUUAAAUAAUAAAAUUUUAAUAUCUGAUUUUAUUUUAUUGGGGAGAUAAAAUUAUAAUUUUAAAUAACUGAUUAAGUAGAAAACAAAAAUAUAUGUGUACAAACUUUAAAUGAUCCUUAUUAAAGAUUAAAAGUUUAAGUUACUUUAGGGAUAACAGCGUUAUUUUUCUUGAGAGUUCAUAUCGAAAGAAAAGAUUGCGACCUCGAUGUUGAAUUAAAAUUUCUAAGUUAUUGCAGAAGUCACUUUAGAAGGUCUGUUCGACCUUUAAAUUUUUACAUGAUUUGAGUUCAGACCGGCGUAAGCCAGGUUGGUUUCUAUCUUUUAAUAAAAAACAAAUUAUCUUAGUACGAAAGGAUUUGAUAAUUAAAUUUAUUUUUAAUUUGGUAA
rnacentral:rRNA from 2 species